AGAGAAUUUGGGGUCCUCUAUGACAUGACUAUCAUCCUCACAUUUCUUGUGUUCAGAAGCGUAAGGCUGGAAUUCGUCUGCCUUUUAACCAAAGAGGACAGCUCUUUGGGAAGCCCAAAAGAAUCAGAAAAUGGACUGUCAUGGAAGUUGCAACCGCUCUGAUAGACACUCCUUCAUAACUUUUCUCAUGACCAGAGGUCAAAGGAAACAUUCAAGAUUUUCAACAAAUGUAGACAGACAUCUGCCGCUUGGGUUACGGUCUGAAUUUUCUUCUGCACUAAAAUACGUUUUAUUUUCAGAUAGAUAGAAAAGUACUUAAGCCUACAGUCAAAAACAUUUGAUUCAAAACAGCAGGUAAAGGAUCUUCUGUAUAAUUUGUACAAAAACUGCAAUUCUAUCCCUGACUUUUAGCAAUGCUCACUGAAAUAUCUAUUCCUAUGAUAGGAAGAAAAAUAUAUAUUAGGUGGCUUUUCUAGAAAAUUAUAGAAAAUAAUAAAUGUGCUAAUUAAUCACAGAGUUUUAUCAGGAAAGAUGAUAAUGAAAAAGAACUCUUAUUUUCUGCAUAUUUGUACACUUCAACAAUGUUAGAUACUCACUUUUUUCAGAUUAUUCAUCAAAGGAUGCAUUUGUAAAAAUCCUUAUUCCUUCAUUAUUAAUUCAGUCCUCACAGUUUUAUGUAAAUUAAGGAGGCUCAACUAAGUUUCUUUCUUUUUUUUUUUAUAAGAACUAUGAGAGAAGGAAGGAUUUGUGAAUCAGAGAAUUCAGAACAAAAUCAAUUUCUAACUUCGACAAAUGAAGAGGAUCUUGAGAAGUACUUCACCUUUAAGCUGAGCACAAACAAUAAAUGUAUUGCGUGAUGAAUGCAUUUAGAAUAAUCUAACAUUUAUGAGAAUUCAUGAAUUAAGAGUCACCUACUGUUCAGACAUUUCAGGUGUAAAAUAUUGAUAAAUAGAAUUUUCCUUUAGACUGCCCUUGAUUCAGACUUUCAAAUAUUUGAAAUAUUCCAUGUCAUUUUUGUUGCAGAUAAAGACAAUACAGAUAAAAGAAUAAUUCUUCUUUUGGCAGAGGGAAUAUAAUUAUGUCCUCGCAUUUGAAAUCAUCAGUAAUGCUUUGCCAGUAAAUUAUCUAGUGCAAGAUACUAGUAACUAACAUUUUAAUCCCUGUGCUGCAGUGUUCGUGACCCGAACAGGGCAAAGAUCUUUCUGGAUGGUGAGCAGGGAUUGCCGUGCACCUCUGCAGAGCAACUUUGAGUGAGAUGCUCUGCAAUUAGACAAAAUAGUUCCACCUAUGUUCAGUAUCUUCUUGCUUUCUAGGUGAGCUCUUUGCAUCCAAAAAGAUGAAAGGUCUAAUAACAGAUUUGUUUUUUAUGGUGUGAGAUUUCCAUCAGUGCACUGUUGACAGCUCUCUACAAAAAUUCAGUUCAGUAGGUUUUUCUUUAGCUUGUCAAAUAUACCAACACCCUGUUUUCAGAAAACUUGUGGGGAUAAAAUUUACCCACCAUCUUUUGUUAUUAUAUUUAGAAACUAAAGUUAGAAAAUGCCCUGAAUGAUGGGAGAAGAGUCUAUUCCAUGUAAUGUUUUGUUUUGUUUUUGAUGAGUUGAGAGGGUGAUAACUGAAUUCUGACAUGUGGGUAUUAAUAUAAUUUGUAUACAUAUGUAGCUAUACUUGAAUGUACGUGCUUUACAUAAGAUGCACGGAUGAUCUCACAAGACAUGCCCUUUAGGCUGUGAAGCUAAAACUGCACACUGUUAUAACAAAGGCAAAGACAAAGCUAAACACCAAGCAUAGGGCUAUAUUUGAAAUUCUCUGUCUUUCUAGAGAGCUAGAACCCAAGCCAAGACUACAGCUGCAGACCUAAACCCAACCUCAUCUUAAGCUGUGCACUUUGUUUACGAGAGAACUGAUCAGGAUACAUGUCACCUGCUGUUUAAGUUGGGUUUGUCUUCUCAUACCUGCAGGGACUGAGUUCUGGGACCAUGUCUCACGAGUGGAGCUCAGAUCGGUUGCUUUUCUUUUGCAGGAAGCUGAGAAAGGCUACAGACAAGGCUAAGCAGGGAGGGUGGGGAGGGAGUGUAGCUGCUUCUGUUGUGGUGAGGUUGUUUAGCUGCCAAAAAGAAUGCUGGAAGCCAGCAUCAUAGUUCUCCAGUCAUACAGAAGACCUAUAGACUGAUUCCUUUCUCUUGGAAGUACCUGUUUUGGAGAGGUCUGGGAGCUGCUUCCUUUAGGCCAUUUACCUUUCCAAAUAAACUGAGGAACAUGGAAAAUCAAGUUUUUACUUUGUGAAGGGCAGUUAAGAAAGGUCACUUAGAGCAGAGGAGUUUGCCAGAAUCUGUGUCCUUCUGUCUUGGUUCCUCUUUGACCAGCAUCAUGUGAAGGGAGGCUGUGUGCACAGUACACAGGGUCCAGCUAAAAGUACAGCACUCAACCCACCCACGGCCAGCUUACAGAGAAAUACACGUAAUUGCAGACCUCUUCAUACAGCCUCUUUUUCUGGUAAGGGAACUCUCCCAAGACUUGGAUACUUCUGCUACCCAGUACCACAGGGCUCAGUUGAUUCACCUCACCUAGUCUCUGCCUGCCCAUGUAAAGUGGCUUGCACAAUCCUGCUUUGGCUAGAUGGUUGGAUUUACAGACUGUGUUUCUAGACGUCUAGAAUGACUUCUGUAAUGAACAUAGUUUCUGAAUAGUUUGCUUGAAGUAAGAUGAUGCAGAAAAUAUUGCUUAGGAUAAAAACACAGGUUUAUCACAAGAUGCCUAUUGUCGUUUUUCCUUUGGAGACUGUUCUUUGUCAGUGAUAUCAUGGGAAAUAGAGCUUGGUUUUUGCCAAUUCACAUUGGUAGCAAUACCUUAGCAGAACUGAAUAAUCAUUAUCAAGGAAAAUUGCAUAACAUUCAAGAUAACACAUACAUUUACAUUAGUACUAGGCUCUUACUAGUACUAGGUUAAAAUUAUAUAAAGCCAAACACAAAAGAAAAUAGAAACAAAGGUGUUAUAGGCAGAUUAAAUAACACUAUGUCUUAGGUACCUGUGGGGCUUCUGUGUUCUGACAUGUGCCAACUAAAAAGGUUUUUCAAAUGCCACUGAAGUACCAUAAUUCCUAGGUCUAUACUCUUAGAAAAGGCAAAUGAAAAAAUUGGUGCAACAGAACAAGACUGCUAUGAAUGAUGGAGGCUGUGCUGUGGCAGAAAACAGAAAACAAAUUGCAUAUACUCAGUAUUUCCACAACAACAUGCAAUUAUUAUUAUUUUUUUUGCUUUCUCUUAUUCAUGUGCUUCUGCUUGCUGUAAACAUCCCCUCACGCUAGAGACUAUUGAUUUCGUGACAAGGCUUUGCCCUCUAGAACAUCAGGGUGAAGCUGCAGCCUACUUCAUUCUUGGGGUGUUGCCCUCCUGAACCUCUUCCCUCUCUUAAUCUCCAAUGACCCUACACGAACAGCAAGUGUGCCCUGCAUUACUUUCUCUGGCAUUUUACUGUGCAAAGAGAGGAAAGGAAGAGAUUCCCACCUGACAAAGCAGAACCCAGGCAAAUCACUUCACUGCAGCUGUGAUGAAGGAACAGGUGAAGGAAAUCAUGCAGAAACACAGCAGGUCAGGGUGGCACAUGGGACCUUUUGGAGGUACAUUUGGACUGAUAAUAAAGGUCUAGGAUAACCAAGGACAAAUAUCCACUGAUGGCUCUUUAUUAUGUUUGCUGUGACAUACUUUUACUGUACAGAUGAGGUGUCAGUGUAAUGCUCAGCAGUGCUGUUUGGUUUUCACACCUGCAAUAAGAAUAAUUUUUGACUAGGAAAGCAUCUUUGCUGUGUGGGUCAGGCAGAUGAACCAUUAGAACUUGAGGCCAUGUUAAUUCUACCAUGAUCCCAGGGGCCUAACAUUAUUUUGUUAUCCCC